UACGUAGGAGACGAGCGUUGUCCGGAGUUACUGGGCGUAAAGGGUGCGCAGGUGGCGGCGCGCGUGGGGGGUGAAAUCGCCCGGCUUAACUGGGCGGGGGCCUUCCAGACGGCGUGGCUUGAGCAGCGGAGGGGGACGUGGAAUUCCUGGUGUAGCGGUGAAAUGCGCAGAUAUCAGGAGGAACACCAAUGGCGAAGGCAGCUCGCUGGAACGGUACUGACGCUGAGGCGCGAAAGCGUGGGGAGCAAACAGG
rnacentral:rRNA from 1 species